rnacentral:lncRNA from 1 species
CCGACGCGGACGACGAGGAGACCGGGGAGCGGGAGGCCGCCAUGGCCAGCGUCCUCGCGCUCUACCGCCGCAACCUCGUCGAGCGCACCAAGCACCACCUUGGUAUGUACGCCCCGCCCCCCUCCCUCCCCUGCUACUACCCGACCUCCUUCUCCCUCCCCCCCGAUCUGGUUCGCGGCGGCCCCGAUCUGGGUGACGUGUGCGUGUGGGCGCGGCGAUUUGGGGGCGGAUUGGCGCUGCCCUUUGCUGUUGCUGUCCAGAUCGUGACAUUCAGGUUGUCGUCUUGUGAUGUUACAUUUUUUUUUUCUAAAAGAAAUUAUGAAGUAAAUGACGCCUUCACAAAAUUCGGCUCUGCUCUGCAAAUGCCUCGUCGUGUACUCGUGAACCGAACAGGGGAACCUUCAAUCAGGUGGUAAUCGCGCGAUUCUUUCGUGCGUAAUCGAAUUGGACAUCAUCGGCAUGCUUCAUUUUUGUUGCUUAAUUUGAUUGCCACCUAUACUUAUAAGGAAUGGUUAAAAGUUCACUCGCGCAACGUGUAAGAUUACACAAGCGCUAUGUGCUCAAUUUCCACAACAUUCGUCGUGGAAUCGAAUUUUAUGAUUGGGAUGAGGUUGCAUACGCGAGCACUGACAGACAACACACUGUAGCAGUAAGCACGCGCUGUAUGCAAUUGAGCAUCACAUGUUUUUGUUUACAGGGAUAAGAAGGUGGCAUUUUUUAUCAGUAGCUUGCUCUUGACCCUUUUUUAAUGAAAGCAAAUUGCAAUUGGUUUGCCAGUGUCAACUUAGGCAUGUGCCAAUAUUUAUUGACUGUUUAUUUAUUCAGAGGUUUUUGCAUAUGUAAUUAGGUAUGUCCAUGUUGGAUUAGUAACUACAAAUUUAAUGUGCAUGCCAAUUGAUGAAACUCUUACAAUGCUGCACAUGAACCCCUUUUACAAAAUUUUUCCUCGAACUUAUAAUGAACAUUUUGUAAGAAGUUCAAUGUUCAGCAAUGAAAAACUGGAAAUUCUUCAAUUCAAUAAGUAUGUUUGGUCUUGCAAAGCUUCGGGACCAUACACAUCAUAUAUAAUUGUAUAAUGUCAUUCAACAUCAUAAAUGAAAGCCACUCUGCUAGUCAAGCUCUUUCUCUAAAAUGAGCUUAACCUGGCUGCCUCCUCUUUGGAACAAGGGGCGAUUCCGGUUCCGUGGGUGCUUCAAACAAUUUUGUGUUCUCUAUAUUACCAUAUCUCUAGUCAAUAAUUUUCUGAGGAAUUACAGAACUCAAUCACUUGCUGCUAGCUGCAACUCAUGUUUUCGGAAUAAAAACAAUACUGUGUAAUGUGAACAAUUCAUCAAUUAGAAAAGGGUAGCAUAGACAUAAACAUGGAAUCCAGUGGGAUAAAUUGACCCAUUCAAAUAUCACAUAAUCCUUCUUCCUUUGGAAGCUAAUCUCACAUGUCCAUUUGUUCUGAUGAAGGUUACCCGUAUAACCUGGACUUCGACUAUGGUGCACUUGGCCAGCUGCAACACUUCUCCAUCAACAACCUUGGUGAUCCCUUCAUCGAGAGCAACUAUGGUGUACAUUCCAGGCAGUUUGAGGUGGGAGUAUUGGAUUGGUUUGCUCGCAUCUGGGAGUUGGAAAAGAAUGAGUACUGGGGGUACAUUACAAACUGUGGCACAGAAGGAAACCUGCAUGGUAUUCUUGUUGGGUUAGUAGUCGAAGAGACCCUAUUCUAUUGACUGCAAAGUGCAUUUUUUCCUGUCAAAAUGUCAUUUCUGUAAAAUCUGUACUGAAUCUUUCUCAACAAAUUGUUUUUCAGGAGAGAGGUAUUCCCUGAUGGAAUCCUGUAUGCUUCCCGUGAGUCUCACUAUUCAGUAUUCAAGGCAGCAAGGAUGUAUAGGAUGGAUUGUGUUAAGGUGGACACCCUUAUUUCUGGGGAAAUAGAUUGUGAAGAUUUUCAGAGAAAGUUAUUGCUAAACAGAGACAAACCUGCCAUUAUUAAUGUU